rnacentral:sRNA from 23 species
CGUUGCGUUGUAUGCAACAUGCCAAUGCCUCGGCGAUCUGAGAGAGGCGCCUUCGGGUGAUCGCCAUGCCAAUGCCACCGUGACCUGAGAGGUGGCGCCUUCGGGCGGUAACUUCGUUUACCCUUUGAAAACGAAGAUCGCAUACAGUUUGAAUCUGGC